rnacentral:rRNA from 1 species
UGGGGAAUUUUGGACAAUGGGCGAAAGCCUGAUCCAGCAAUGCCGCGUGUGUGAAGAAGGCCUUCGGGUUGUAAAGCACUUUUGUCCGGAAAGAAAUCCUUGGCUCUAAUACAGUCGGGGGAUGACGGUACCGGAAGAAUAAGCACCGGCUAACUACGUGCCAGCAGCCGCGGUAAUACGUAGGGUGCAAGCGUUAAUCGGAAUUACUGGGCGUAAAGCGUGCGCAGGCGGUUUGCUAAGACCGAUGUGAAAUCCCCGGGCUCAACCUGGGAACUGCAUUGGUGACUGGCAGGCUAGAGUAUGGCAGAGGGGGGUAGAAUUCCACGUGUAGCAGUGAAAUGCGUAGAGAUGUGGAGGAAUACCGAUGGCGAAGGCAGCCCCCUGGCCAAGUACUGACGCUCAUGCACGAAAGCGUGGGGAGCAAACNGGAUUAAUACCCUGGUAGUCCACGCCCUAAANGAUGUCAACUAGUUGUUGGGGAUUCAUUUCCUUAGUAACGUAGCUAACGCGUGAAGUUGACCGCCUGGGGAGUACGGUCGCAAGAUUAAAACUCAAAUAAUUGAC